rnacentral:rRNA from 1 species
UACGGAGGAUCCAAGCGUUAUCCGGAAUCAUUGGGUUUAAAGGGUCCGUAGGCGGUUUAAUAAGUCAGUGGUGAAAGCCCAUCGCUCAACGGUGGAACGGCCAUUGAGUACUGUUAGACUUGAAUUAUUAGGAAGUAACUAGAAUAUGUAGUGUAGCGGUGAAAUGCUUAGAGAUACAUGGAAUACCAAAUUGCGAAGGCAGG